rfam:Triticum aestivum genome assembly, contig: Triticum_aestivum_CS42_TGACv1_scaffold_132105_2BL
UAGAUACUCCCUUCGUCCCAAAUUACUUGUAGAAAUGGGUAGAAAUGAAUGUAUCUAGAACUAAAAAUACGUCUAGAUACAUUCAUUUCUGCGACAAGUAAUUUGGGAUGGAUGGAGUACUAG